AUAACACGGAGAGGCACUAAUCAAAGCAGAAACUUCAAAUGUGCCACAUUUGCAAAAAGACUAUCAGCUGCCUCAGUCUGUUCUGCCAGAUUAACCCAAUUUGGUCGAUGUCUUCCCAGAACAAGGUGGCCCUUGCUGUCACUCUACGUCCCACUCCCUCUCUUUUUCUUCCUCCCAUUCCAGAAAUGCAUUUAUUUAAAAUCAAAAGAAUGGCCUAAGAUGAAGUUGAACAAAAAUACUCCAGAUCCUUGGGAUUUCCUUAUUUCAUUUCAGCAACAAAGUUAAAAAUGUCUGUCAGUUGUCAUUUCCCUAACCACCAUCCCACUUCAUGGCUUGCCAUUUUCCUCCAGGGUCACUGUGCACCAAAGGCAGUAUUAGAUCGAGGGUGGGACAGGCACUGUUGGCAUCUCACAUCUGCGGAUUCCCCAGGGUUGUGCUGUCUCUUCAUCGGGCAGCGAAUGAUGAAUUGUGAGUCAGUCCACAUUGGGGGAAGCCUCUAUCAUCCCACAGCUGAACUCACUCCGUUCAUUUGCUACCUUAGAACAGGAAAGAGAAGCAUAUGUAGCAAAUCAUUGGGCUGGGUCCAGCAUCUUUAUUCCUCAUUACCUUCUACAUCUAAUACAAUUGCUCAUUGAAAUAAUUACUGUCUUCACCUGGUGGCACCGUUCUAUUUUGCUUAUAAGACAGGCUGGCAGCAAAACCUCUUUCACUGAGCUUGGAUUCAUUUCCCUUAGCAGAUGAUUUCAAUAACUUCACAUCAUUUUUCAUCUGGCAAGUCAAGGGAAGCCAAGUUUUGAGAGAAAUAAAGCUUGUUCCUUGGAGUGGAACCGUGCCAGGGAAGGUGAAACAACUUCAUUUUCCACGCGGACAUGUGGGCCCUUCUAGUUUUUGCACGGAGAGCUGCCUGGAUUUGCUCAAAUCAACUUGUGGUGCUCAUACUAAUUGGUUGUUUGAAGCCGGCUGUCCAGCUGGCAGCCGUUUGGGCCGCUAGAAUGGCCCUGGGGUUGCUGAUUCACUUCUCUCCCAAAGACUGAAUGGCCUAUUAUUUGAAAGGGAGGACGGAGCCAACCCAGUUUGCCCUGGCUUGCUGCGGGUGACCUAGGAGGCAGGCCGCCUCUCCAGGGUUUCUCCUGAACUUUGAAGAAGUCGUUUGCACCUUAGUGCAAUAAACUGGUGCCGCAUCUGGUGCCCUGGAGCCUGGAGGUCAGAGACAAUCGGGAGCCCGCAGGGACAGUAGAUAGUGUGAGAAAGAGACACAGUGAGAAGCUGAGGUGUGUGAACCGGUCAGCCGGGAUAGUUUAGAGUCCUCUGCAUUUGUUACCUCACCCAGGACCCUCCUCCUACUCAUUUUCCUGAGCUGAGAAGCAGUGACAACGAAAGGGACCGUGGAGCGGAUGAUGCCAACUAUUAUGGCUUCUGGCCUCUUGGGGCUUCCUUGAUUGAAGAAUGUAAACCAAUGGUGGCAAAGAAAGGAAUAGUCUUGCAGGAGAAAGACAAGGCACUUUGGAGUGAGUCUCUCUUGGGACUGGCCAGGAGGAGAAAGGAGGACAUGUAUCUUUGGAACACUUAUGACAGGCACCUGGCCCAUCUCCUGUCGAGGGUUACGCUCUUCUCUCCUGCAGAAAGGAAGAAACACAUCUAUGGAGUACACACAACUGCACGGGCAGAGAGCCUGCUGUCACAGCCAUUAGUGUCAUCAUCAUCAUCGUCGUCAUCAUCAUCAAAAAGCAUCUUCUAAGCACCUGAUUGCCAACAACCAAUAAAGAGGGAGACCAGGUGGGAAGUACCUGAACUUGAAGGGAAGAGGCCUGGAUUCCCAUCCCAGCUCUUACUUCCAAGGAGCUCUGUGCCUCUGGGCACAAGGGGCAUGGUUCCCCUUGCCCCUCUCAAAUUCGUCACUGCUAUCACAGAUACAGCCCUCACCCUCCACAUUUCCCCAGCCCAUGCCCACUGCAGGCAUGGCUAACCAACCACUAUCCCAUGGAGCCUUAGAACAUGGCCUCAGAAACCUUCACACAGAACUCCCAACAGCCAUUGCUCACUGACUUGAAGGGCACUCAAGUUGAAACCUAUUAGCCAUUGCUGUCCUAAAGGAAUUUAUAACCUGAGAAUGGAAUUCUGUACCAAGAACAGGCCAGGUCACUCAGAAGAAAAGAAAAACAAAAAACUUAAAAAUCAAUAAAGCAAUAAACCCACCUGAACAAUCUGGACUAGCCAGGUGAAUGAUACUUAGUUACUAGGCAAAGGUAACCUCACUGAAUUGUUUUAUUUGGAUAGAUCCAGGGUUAAAGAUAUUGGAACACACCCCAAAUCAGAAAUGCGCUGUCUUUAUUUCACAGAUAAGGAAAUGAAAGCCUCAGUGGUUGUGACUUCCCAGGCCCCCCAUCUUGGCGGUGGCCACAUCAAAAACCCAGCUUUUCUGGUCCCCAACCCAAUGGUCUCUCUACCCACUGACCACAUUGUCUUGCUUGGCAGGGGAAACACAC